ACACCUUCUCCAGCUGCACCAAACCGGAACCGAGUCCGUGUUCUUGCGAAAUCAUGCCCGGGGAAUCAGACCUUCGAUUCGGACAAUUCAGAUUCUUCCUCGGAGACUUCCAACAAAACCCAGCUGGGUGAUCAGAAAUCGGUGUCACGGAGACAGUGGAUGACGGCAU